rnacentral:lncRNA from 1 species
UAAGAAUUACGCAGGGAUGAUUAAUUGAGCAUACCUUAAAGCAAUGAGAAGCAUUCUGUGAUCUUAAGCAUGCAGGGAUCCAACAAGAUAAUUGUCUGCGAAGAUCAAUAAAAUUACAUUAAAAUACUUUUACUCUCUGAUUUGAAAUCUUAGCAUCUUAUGCAUGAAAAAUAGAAAUAAAAGGCAAAAAUCAGAUUGCACUUCACGAAACCCAAUCCAAGAAUUCAUCAUCCAAAUUAUCAUUUAUACAGCUCAUGUUUGCAUUUAAAUUCCUGAUGUCAUGACUAAUACUUAAAAAUUUUUUUUGUGAAGAAACAACCAACAGGAUUUGUUCAACAUGCUUGGAUCAAUGUACCUUGCUGUGAUCUUUUUGGGAAUAAGAAACUGUUCAUCAGUUCUGCCAUUCAUAGCAAUUGAGCGAGAUGUCCUGUAUCGGGAAACAUUUGCAGGAAUGUACUCUUCAUGGGCAUAUGCCUUUGCACAGGUGCACCCACCUUUAAGAUAUAAAAUUUUCUCUCUUUGGGUUAUCCAUUGAAGACCACUGAUCCUUUCCUCGUAUCUUAACUACUACACUUCUCUUUUCAGAUGGCCAUUGAGAUCCCCUAUGUAUUUGUCCAAGCAGUACUGUUUAUGGGCAUUGCAUACCCAGGAAUUGGAUUCUACUGGUCUUCCUACAAAUUCUUUUGGUUCUUCUACACAAUGAUCUGCACACUACUUUACUUUAAUUAUCUGGGGAUGUUUCUUGUGUCAUUGACACCAAAUCUUCAAGUGACAUCUGUUCUAACAUCUCCAUUCUAUUCAAUGAUGCAUCUCUUCUCAGGUUUCAUUGUGCCUGGACCAGUAAGUGCUCCAUAAAAAAUUUAUAUUACCGUACUUUUCUGCUUCUACAUCUCAUUUUGUGAGACCCAAAGCUUCAUAUUCUUGGAAUCAGAUUGUGAGAUUACAUCACAUGUAAAGACUAAAGAAUUAUAAUGAUUUUAAGAGGAUACAGAAAGUGGAAAAUCUUUAAUAUGUUCUGUAUAAUAUCCAAGAGAGAAAGAAACCUAUCAAAUGAAACAGUUUUCAGAGAAAAUAAACGAAAUCUAAGAAUUAAUGAAAAAAAAUCAAAAUAAAUAUAUUUCUUCAUUCAAGUUUCAUUGUAUUACGAACUAUUAAUUUGACUCAUUCUUGUUACUAUCCUGCAGAAAAUUCCAAAGUGGUGGAUUUGGUUCUAUCACAUCGUCCCAACAUCCUGGACUCUCAAGGGACUCUUCAUUUCACAAUAUGGGGACAUAGACAAGGAGAUUACAGUGUUUGGAGAAUCAACAUCGAUUGCGUCCUUUAUAGAUGAUUACUAUGGUUUCCACCAAAACCAGCUGCCUCUUGUGGCUGUUCUCCUAAUUCUUUACCCUCUUAUCAUCGGUUCUCUGUUCUCGGUUUGUAUAGGGAGGGUAAAUUUCCAGAGGAGGUGAUUGGACACAGGAAGAGUUGCACACACAUCAUGUAUACUUCUAAUUCGUAGGAAAAUAUUCAUGAAUAUUCCACAACAGACUACUACAGAAAUGAAGACUAGCAUCAGAUGUUACCCAUCAGAGUCCCUAAAGGGCUAGUCCAAAUAAGGUGUGCCUGCGGCUGGACUUUCCCUGAGGUUGAUGCACUCUCACUUCCAACAAUCUCACUGAUAACUUCCUCCUGUUUAUCCGAUUGUACCAGAAGAAAAGUUAGAGUGUAUGAUAAACCUUGAGCUUUAAAAUUGAGUUUAGCAGCACUUUGCAUAGCUCAGAUCAUUUUUUCCUGAUUUUAAAGAGAAAAAGAGAAAACUUGAUUCGUAUCAGUACAGCUGUGAAAAAAAUGGGGCGAAUUCUGCAACCCAGUACGGCCUGGGCCAGAAAGAAAAGUAUGAGCUUUCCCAGUGCAUAUUUGUCGAGUUAAGGAUACAUGCAAACAUACAUGACGCAUGUACAUCCAUAUAUAUAUAUGCAUACACACACAGAUAUAUAUAUAUAUAAAUAUAUAUAAUAGAGAGAGAGAGUCCAUUCAGAUAUAUAAGAAGAAAACCAAGUGAAGAACUAGCAAGGAAAAGACAGUUUCUAGUGACUGCAGAUGAAUUCUGAGUUGGCAGAAGUUUUUAUCAAUCAGCAGGACAUUUAGCUUGCAUAAAAAACUAAAAACACUAUUAAAUUAUAGAGGAAUUAGAAUCCCUACAAAUCAGAUUGGCGACUGAUGUGCAUGCUGGCGGAUUGAGCAUGAAUAGAUUCUCAGUACAGCUGCAUCUGACAUGACCAAACAGACACACAAAUCUUCCACUUUACAAGAACCAUCUAUAAGCCAACAGGCUAUGCUUUUCAAGCAGAUCUAGCUAUAACAUGAACAACCUUUGAAAUUAGUGAAUAUGGUUGACUCACACUUCAUGCUUGACUACAACACAAAUGGCUGCAAGGACGAGGUAGAGGAUAAUGGUGUGGUAUCCUUGAAUAGGGAGAGGGAUGAAUGGCUGUACAAUAAUUCAGGACUAGUCCUAACAUUAACGCUCCUGAAUACUUAAGUGAACACAUGAGCAGACUAGGAUCUCUUUAUAGAAAUGUUUCUGCAAAUGGUACGCUCUAAUAAUCAAGCACUGUGAACGAAUUAUCAUCCCAGAGAAGACACAUGAUUUACAAGAGUUAGACUAAGAGGAGAAAACCUAAAAAAGAAAUUUAUCAAUGGAAACGUCUUCAAGAAUGGUAUCUUUUAACGAUAAAAAAUUAUCAACAGAUGACAACGCAUAUAAGAGGAGGGACAUGAUUUACACCGUUGCAAAUCAUGUGAGAUGUAAAUUAGAAAAGAAAACCUAUUUAUAGAAGUGUCUCCAAGAAUGGCAAUUUCAAACAUUCCAUAAUUAUGAAAUUACGUCCAUGAGAGAAGUUACAUGAUUUAGACUACCGAUACUUCAGGAAUAUGCCACCCAAGAUAUUUCCAAGAGCAAAUAUAAUGAAAAAAUAUCACACCCAUGAGAGAGGCAUAAUUUACAUUGUGUCUCGUGAGUGUUAUGCAGAACAAGUCUUCCAUAUCAUCAGGAUUUCCAUUUAUUUUUCUUUUCCUAUUUUAUUUUUAGAUGUAUUUUCUCUUUUUCGUGUUUCUGUUAUUAACCUUUCUGUAAAUACCGGAAAGGUUGUUAGAUGCCAAUAUAAAUAUUACUGCCCUGAGAAGGGUUAGGUCAGUUUUUCUUUUCUUGAAGCAUGGUAUCAGAGCUUUCUCUCUGAUCCUACAAGAAGACUGCCGACGGAAGAUCAACCAACCUAUGUCAAGGCAGUAUGACCACGUGAUUUUCUUUCUAUCUGCAGUACCUGAAACGUGAGGUUUCUUGGUCGUACGCAGACCGGCGGAUUCCUUGGAGAGUCAUACGUCAUCAUCGUUUUUAGAAGGUGGCAAGACAACUGCGAAUACAACAUUGUCAUUUUUCUGACAGUGGCAGACGUCUGUGAGUACACCAUUCUCAUUUCUUGAGGGUGGCAGUCAUUCUUAGUUUCUUGAACAGGAACUGUUAUUCGUACCACAUCAAGGAAUCUCUAUUUGAGAUUUUUUUCUUUGGCUAUUAUAGAACAUGGAGACAAAGGCCAGUGAAUCUUCCUCCUCUGGCCCAAGACAAUCAUUCGAAGUAAUUAAGGUAUGUUUAGACCUACCUAGAAUUGCUGAGAGAUUCUGAUUUGAUGGAAUCAAUUUGCUGCAAUAGACAUCGUAUGUGGAACUUAUUCUACGUGGGAGAAAUCUGGAUCAUCACUUGAUGCAAUCCUCACCAAGUAUUGACAACCCAGGAUAUUCUCGGUGGAAAGAAGAAGUACUUAUUCAAUAUUGGAUGCUGGACAAUAUUUCAUCAAAGAUAAGUGAUAGAUUUCUUUUUCUGAAAUUUGUGAGGGAAUUAUGAGACAAAAUUCGUCGCGGUCACUCUACUAAACAUGACGAAUCCCAAAUUUAUAGAUUGGUACAGAAAUCUCUAACUUUGGUAUAAGGAACAUUGACUGUUUUGGAAUAUGCUUGUGAAUUAGAAUCCAUAUGGAGAGAAAUCGACCACUACAGACCAAUCAAGAACCUUGAUGCUAAAGAAAGAAAUUACAUCAUGAAAGACAGGUUGUAUAAGUUUCUGAUGAGACUAAAUCUAGAGUAUGAGACUCUAGUAAAUCAGAUCCUUGCUCGAGAAGUAGUACCAGACAUUGAAGAAGCAAUUGCAUUAGCCAGACAAGAAGAAAAUACUAGAAGUUUGAGAAAUGAUUUAAAGAUAGAAAAUGUUGCGUUCAGUGCUCUCAAGAGUAAAGAUAACUCUAGAUUUAAAAAGGGGAAUGAGAAAGUACCAUUCAUCAAAAGAGAUCCCAAGACUGAUCCAAAGGCACACCUAUUCUGCACGUAUUGUCAGAAAAAUCGUCAUACUAGGGAAACAUGUUGGAAGAUCCAUGGCAAACUACCGAGCUAUGGUAAGUUGCAUUUGGCUAAUGCUCAAAAUGAAGAUGGUGUUAUCCCAAUGAUACAAGGAGGAAUUAGUCAAGAUGGAUUGACUUCCUCUCAGCCUUCAGAUAUUGGAAAACUUAGAGAAGAAAUUGAACAGCUGAGAAGCAUGAUCAGCUCCACUUCUCUCACACAUGCUAGUAAGCAUUUUCCUAAAUGUUUUCUAUUAUACUUAAAUACAUCAUCAUUAGCAUCACCAUCACCCUUGAAAGUAUCUUGGAUUAUUGAUUCUGGAGCUACUGAUCAUAUGACAUCAUACGCAUCACUAUUUAUAACAUAUGAGGUAUGUAUCAAUAAUUGAAAGGUUAUUACUGCAAGUGGAGAUUUAUUACCUGUAAUUGGCAUUGGAUCAAUUCAUCUUGAGAAAUUGGGGUUAUUAAGAUAUGUUCUUCAUGUACCAAGAUUGAAUACACAUCUAUUGUCAUUGAGAAAAUUGGGCAAAGACUUGAAUUGUGUAAUAUUAUUUGACAAUGAUUUAUGUUUCUUCUAUGGCAAGACCUCGGGCAAGAGGAUUGAGCAUGUUAGAGCAUAGGAUGGACUCUACUACACAAGGCGUAUGGACAGGCCAUUGUUGACGAAUUCUAGUUCAAAUAUUUCAACUUUUGUGUCUGCUUCUCCCUUGAACAAAUUGUUGUUGUUGCAUUGUCGUUUAGGACAUCCGUCCAUAAAAGUACUUUGAUACUUGUUUCCAAGAUUAUGUCGUGCAAUUGGUGAAUCUACUUUCGUAUGUGAACCCUAUCAAAUGGCUAAACAGCGACGUAUUUCAUUUCCCUCCUCUGGAAAUAAAAGUGAAUCCCCUUUUUACAGAAUACAUUCUGAUAUAUGGGGUCCUUCUUCAUCUGGUGGUAUUAAGGACUUCAGAUGGUUUAUCAUCUUUAUAGAUGAUUAUACUAUAUUCACAUGGAUUUACUUAAUGAAAACAAAAUUAGAAGCCAGCAAUGUUAUUCCAAGGUUUAUCAAGCUAAUUCAAAAUCAGUUCAGUAUAACCCCGAAGAGAUUUCGACCAGAUAAUGUUAAAGGUUUCUUCAAUUCUACUGUAUCUAAUUUCUUUACUAAGAAAGGUAUUGUUCAUGAAUCUUCUUGCCCAUAUACACCCCAGCAAAAUGGGGUAGCAGAAAGAAAGAUUGGGCAACUGCUGAGAAUAACAGGGGCUAUCAUGUUUAAAGCCUAAGUGCCGAAGUACUUAUGGAGUGAGGCAGUACUAAUUGCCACUCAUCUUGUUAAUCGUCUCCCAUUAGAAGCGCUAUUAUUUAAGACCCCCAAAGCCUUACUACAAGGCCAUUAUCUAACUGUGUAAUAUGGACUAGAUUUACCUCUUCGAGUGUUUGGGAGUAUUGCAUACAUCCACCAAUCUCAUAAUAGAUUGUCUAGGUUUGCUCCAAGAGUCAUAAAGGCUGUUUUUGUGGGCUAUUCCAAUACACAAAAAAGGUAUAAAUUUUAUGACCCAAGAUCUAGAAAAAUUAUUGUGACGAUUAAUGUCACAUUUGAUGAAAAUAAUAUGUAUUUUCAGCAGACAACAGCUCAAGAAUCUAGUUGUGGUAUUCCUAUGCUAGAAAAACAUGAUUUACAUAUUGAUAUUCUCAAGGAAAAUGAAGCUCCUAAAACAAUAUCAGCACCUCCACCACAUAUUGAGAUUAUCAAGGAGAAUGAAGAUCCUAAAACAAUAUCAGCACCGCCACUUACACCUCCCAAUCGAUUUGGUCGAAAUUAUUAUCAAAAAAAGUCAAAGACAACUAGAGGGAACCAUAAACAGGAUCUACAUGAUGCAGUAGAUGCCCAUGAUUCUACUAUUGAAUGUGACAAAUCAUUGAUUGACCAACAAUAUGAACAUGAUGUACUUGAUGUAGCAAAUGCCCAUGAACAGGAUCAACAAAACCUUCUUAUUACUCAAGGAGAUGAAAUCUGCCCUAUUGCUCUUCACAAAGGAGCUAGAGAAUGUACAAAGAAGAAGGUAUAUCCAUCAUGUAAUUAUGUGUCAUAUCAUUGUCUAUCUCCACAAUACAAGUCAUUUAUGUCAGCUAUUGAUAAACAUGAUAUCCCUCAAAAUAUUGAUGAAGCUUUAAGAAGCCUCCUAUGGAAAAAGGCAAUAGAUGAUGAGAUGUUAGUUUUUAUAGAAAAAUCAAACUUGGGAACUCAUGUUGCUUUCUAAAGGGAAGAAAACAGUGGGUUGUAAAUGGAUAUAUACUAUUAAGUAUAAAUCCGAUGGGACUGCCGAGCAUUUUAAAGCUCAGUUGGUGGCAAAAGGCUUCACCCAAUGUUAUGGUAUUGAUUAUAUGGAAACUUUUGCCCCAGUUGCGAAGAUGGGAACAGUUUGGAUAUUAAUAUCAUUAGCUGUGCAUUAUGGAUGGUCUUUGUUACAAUUUGAUGUGAAAAAUACAUUCUUGCAUGGAGAAAUCUCAGAAAAAAUAUAUAUGGAUCUCCCACCAAGGUACAAAAACCCAAAUGAUACUCUAAAAGUAUGCAAACUUAAGAAAGCAUUAUAUGGAUUAAAACAGUCACCAAGAGUUUGGUUUGGCCGCUUAACUAAAACAAUGCGAGCAUUGGGGUUCAAAUAAGCCAAUGGAGAUCAUACCUUAUUUUAUGAACGAUCAAGCUUAGGAAAAUGGCAAUCUUAUUAGUAUAUGUUGAUGACAUGAUUGUCACUAGAGAUGAUAUGUAAGAAAUCACUUCUCUUCAAAAACAAUUGACAGCUGUUUUUGAUAUCAAAGUGUUAGGACAACUAAAAUACUUCUUGGGAAUUGAGGUAGCCUACUCUCGUGAAAAUUUAUUUUUAUCUCAAAGAAAAUAUAUUACAGAUUUACUCAAACAUAUAGGCAUGAGUAACUGUAAACCAGCAAGUACACUAAUUGAAGCGAAGCGCUAUAUUAGGGCUUCAAAGGAGAGCGAUCAAAUAGACAAGGGAUCUUAUCAACGGCUAGUGGGAAAAUUAAUUUAUCUAUCCCAUACUAGACCAGAUAUUGCUUACUUAGUUGGAGUGCUCAGUCAAUAUAUGCAUGACCCUAGGGAAGUGUAUCAUCAAGCUACUCAACGAGUCUUAGCCUAUCUUAAAGGAACAAUUGGCAUGAGAAUCCUAUUUAAAAAAGAAGAUUCUCUUACAGUAGGCAUCUAUACUAAUGCUGAUUAUGCUGGUUCAAUUGAUGAUAGGCGCUCUACUAUUAGGUAUUAUUGUCUCAUUGGAGGAAAUUUGGUUACUUGGUGAAGCCAAAAAUAGAGAGUUGUAGCUCGUUCAAGUGCCGAAACAGAAUUUAGGGCUAUGGCUCUUGGGAUUUGUGAAGGCAUUUGGAUAAAGAGUAUACUAAAUGACUUACAAAUACCAAUAGAAGGUCCAAUUACCUUGUACUAUGACAAUCAGUUCGCAAUAAGUAUUGCGCAUGACCCUAUUCAGCAUAACAAGACCAAACACAUUGAAGUAGACAGACAUUUUAUUAAAGAGAAACUUGAAUCAAGAAUAUUUUGCACAAAGUAUGUCUCAUCUACAAGUCAAUUGGCUGAUAUAUUAACAAAGGGCAUUUCUGUAACAGAGUUCUGCAAACAAAGGAGCAAGCUGGGCAUGAAUGAUAUCCAUGCACCAGCUUGAGAGGGAGUGUUACGCAAAACAAGUCUUCCAUAUCAGGAUUUCCGUUUAUUUUUCUUUUCCUAUUUUAUUUUUAGAUGUAUUUUCUCUUUUUCAUGUUUCUGUUAUUAACCUUUCCAUAAAUACUGGAAAGGUUGUUAGACGCCAAUAUAAAUACUGGCGUACUGCCCUGAGAAGGUUUAGGUCAGUUUUUCUUUUCUUGCUUCCACUGUAUCUUGAAACAGUGAGCGACAUAAAACAAUGAAAGAAUUUUCAAUGAUUAAAAAUGCAGACGAUGCAAGACAAGCUAAACAAGGUGGUGAUCCAUUUCCCCUGUGGUUUCAGCAUGUGUGCUCGCCAUGAAUCAGCCCAGCCCGACAAGGGGGCACUUAGGCAGCUUCCGCCCUGCAUCCUCUGAAGUAGCCAUACUGUCAAGAAGGCACUGAUAGUUGAAUACAUGGCCACAGGGGGCACACGAGAACUCAUGUCCAACCUCAUAGUCGUCCCAACAUAUGGGGCGUUGCUCUUCUUCUUGGUACUUGCCUUCACCAGGCCCAUAAUUGACUGCCCUGAAUGCUGCCAUUACUUUCCCCAGUGAGUCCCGCCUGGUUACCAAGGCCCGGGCACAAGUUCCAGAGCUUGUUGGGUGCAGAAUAGCUCCAAGAGGUAAAAAGAGGAAUGCAUAGGAGCCUAUCAGCACAAGGAUAGAAAUUGUAAGUAGGCAAAGAAUCCCAGUGAUCUGCCAGCCGUUUAACUAUCCACUUAGGUAAGUGACCCAUUAAAUGAUAAGUGCCCAUCGGCCUUCCUGCAGCUGCAGAUCUCCCAUAUUACUGUAUGUGAAAUUCAUUUCCAUAAAAUAGAAAUGAAAGGUGGCUAUGGCAAGCUGCGCGGAAAACAACAGCAAGAGAAAAAGAUGGGAAUCGUAACCCAAGGGAAGGGAAGUUCAUAACUGUUAGCUUGUAGCAUUAUAAAAAGAUUGAGAGAGAGGCAUAGAGACACAGACAGAAAAAUAGAGAAAGGUUAUGCUGCCUAGCUUCACAGACUGUUCAUUUACUAAAUCAAGAAAAUGUUUAAAAUAAAGAGAGAGAGAGAGAGAGAGAGAGAGAGAGAGAGAGAGAGAGAGANNNNNNNNNNNNNNNNNNNNNNNNNNNNNNAGAGAGAGAGAGAGAAGCAAUUUACGUGAGCUCACAGAUCAAAUGUUGCAAUUAUUGAAGUUUAAAAAAAUAAAAAAAGAUUCGGGAUAUGUAAAGAACAAAUGGAUUAUUCAGUAACGUGUAAUUGCUGAGAAAGCAUGGAAGGAAGUGGCUAGACAUGAUUUGAUAAGGCUUUCCUUACAAUAUGACUUAAUACUCCACAGAAACUUGUGAAGAAAAUAUCUUACAUUAUCUUCUUUUUCCAUGUUACUCCUUAAAUCGAAGAUUUAUAUCAAUAUAUGCACUGCUCUCAGUAAAAUGUAUAGUUAUUUAAUCCAAAAGAAAUAAGUUUUAAAUUAUUCACUCAAUACGCAGGAAAAUUAGUUGAAAACUAUCCUUAUAGUCAUUAACAGUAAUGAAAUCAGUAUAAGAAUUGCUUAACAGCGCAUGUUCUGCAGAAGAAAACUGAACAGGACACUGAACAUAUGAAAUAGCCUUUCCCGUAGGGUAGUUUCACACUUGAAGCAAACCACUUGUAGACAAGAUAAAUAACCCUUCACAGGGAAUAAAAGAAAAUAUUUUUAAUUUCAGGAACAGAACUUUCUUAUGCUAGGAAGUUCAACAUGGGCUCGUCAUUUACCCAUUUUAUUUGGGUUAAUCUAUUUAAAAAGAAGCCAAAGCUACCUAUCGCCUUGAUAAGAAAAUUUAAAGAAGAAAGAUUCAAGAGGAUCCCAUGCACUGAAUAUUCAUAACUGGAGAUAUUUGGUGAGCCGAGACGGUGUGAAGAAGUAAAAACGAAAAGUGCUCCAUUGACUGAAACCCUGAAGCAAUUCACAACAAGAGAUCCUAUGCCACAUCGAUUUUCAAUCAAAUGAAACGAAUCUUACUUGGAAUAGACACAAGAAUUGAACCUGCCACGUCAAUUUAGCUUCUUAUCUUAUUAAACCUCAAUGCUUUCUGCUAUGGAGGGAUGAACCUUAAUGUCUCAUGAUGCAAAAAACUUUACUAAUAAUUACAAAGAUCAUCUUUCCUGAUAGGUCUGUUCUACAGUCCUUGUUAAUCCUGUCUGGUCGGCAAGCUAUAAUUCUACAAUGUAUCAUGAUCAUUAACAUCUUCAUCACUGCAGCUCAAAUAACCUGAAAUCCUCUGAGAAUCAUACGAUUUUCUGGAGCAUACUGGACGGACUUCAUUUAAAACAAGCAAUUAACAGUAACAGUUAAUGCUCUCGUAUCAGGAAGGGGACCAGAGAUGGGGGAGGAGCGAGAGAGAGAGAGAUGUUACAAAAGAAAAACUUUUCAGCAAGUAAAAUAAUUCGCCCACGGGGAAGAACAAGAAGGGAAAGAAUAAUCCACUCGGCCUCAAACAUCCACACAUAUUGGCGACCAAAAUAAAAGAAGACUCUCCGCAACCACGGACCUCCUCCAAGGGCUCCGCAAACAUCCUCCGAGGAUUCUGAUGGACUCGAGGCGUCGAAGAAGGCAAAGUAGAAAAUGAUGGGCCCAAUGAGAGAAGAAGCGCUCGAUGGCAAUAAAGCAAUCUCUCUGACGCGUGAGGCCAACCGAAAUAACGACCUCGCGAAGGUUCCAGAGCCUUCAGCCUGAGGGACAACCCACAGGAGGAGCCGAGCUAGAGUUUGUUGGGUGACAGAUCACAUCUCUCUCUCUCUCUCUCUCUCUCUCUCUCUCUCUCC